UUCAGAACAUGUCCACGGAAAGAUUACAAGGAUAUCCGGAAAUCUUGAAGGGCCGACACGAACAACCGAUGCUUGAUCUGAACAUGUCCACGGAAAGAUUACAAAGGACAUCCGGAAAUAUUGAAGGUAACCGUUGAGUGGAGCUAAAUAUUUGAACUUUAUUCGAGUUCACUCACCUA